rnacentral:misc_RNA from 1 species
CUUCACCUCAGCCCCAGGUUUCAAGUCACAUAGAAAAUUUGAGCACACUCCUUUCACUAUCUCCCCUUGAUCGUUGGUAUAAACCAGCCGCUUCACACAUAGUGAAACAGUCUUGGAGUCACCAAAGUCCCCAAGAGCGCUGCUGGCGAUCGAAUACAACCUCAACUUGUGGGGCUUCCCAUUCUUAUCAACCCCGUCAGCGAUCACACCAACAGAUUGCCCCUCUUUGUAUGGAAUCUCCCCCUCAGUGCUGAAGACCAUGUGCCAGGUCUCUCCGGGUGCAUCGUCACCGGUGAUCUUGGUGUUCAGAAGGGUUCUUCCGAUGUAUGGCGUCGCGGGUCUGAACUUGUUGGUGAUGACGCCCUCUUCAGCCUUCUUUGAUUCCUUCUUCACCUUGGCUGGUGCCUCGGUGGUGACCUGAGCUCUGAUAGAGACCAGCCUCUUGCUAGACGAGACAGUGCUUCUCGGGUAACCGCAUGGCUUGUGGAGAGCUAGCCUGUCGGGAGAGGAGAUAGAGGUUCUGGAGGGGAGGACUGAGGAUUUCGGAGACGGGAGGGACACUGCAGCGGUUACUGCAGCUGAAGCCAUGGUGGAGGCGGGAGUGGAGAGAGAGGAGCAGGAGGGAGGUGAUGAAGG